UACGUAGGGGGCAAGCGUUGUCCGGAAUCAUUGGGCGUAAAGAGCGUGUAGGCGGCCUGGUAAGUCCGCUGUGAAAACUCGAGGCUCAACCUCGAGACGUCGGUUGAAACCGUCUGGCUAGAGUCCGGAAGAGGAGAGUGGAAUUCCCGGUGUAGCGGUGAAAUGCGCAGAUAUCGGGAAGAACACCCGUGGCGAAGGCGGCUCUCUGGGACGGUACUGACGCUGAGACGCGAAAGCGUGGGGAGCGAACAGG
rnacentral:rRNA from 1 species